GACGAACGCUGGCGGCGUGCUUAACACAUGCAAGUCGAACGGAAAGGCCCUGCUUUUGUGGGGUGCUCGAGUGGCGAACGGGUGAGUAACACGUGAGUAACCUGCCCUUGACUUUGGGAUAACUUCAGGAAACUGGGGCUAAUACCGGAUAGGAGCUCCUGCUGCAUGGUGGGGGUUGGAAAGUUUCGGCGGUUGGGGAUGGACUCGCGGCUUAUCAGCUUGUUGGUGGGGUAGUGGCUUACCAAGGCUUUGACGGGUAGCCGGUCUGAGAGGGUGACCGGCCACAUUGGGACUGAGAUACGGCCCAGACUCCUACGGGAGGCAGCAGUGGGGAAUAUUGCACAAUGGGCGGAAGCCUGAUGCAGCAACACCGCGUGCGGGAUGACGGCCUUCGGGUUGUAAACCGCUUUCGCCUGUGACGAAGCGUGAGUGACGGUAAUGGGUAAAGAAGCACCGGCUAACUACGUG
rnacentral:rRNA from 1 species